UUCUCUGCUAACAGAACAACAGAUAGAUAUGGAAUAUAUAAAGUGACAGUGCCAGAGGUUGAUGGUGUUGAUUGUGCGGUGGGAUCGACAAUUGAAUUAGUAUGCCAGGCAAGUUUAAUACGGAGCUCAUAUCCAGCCUGCAACGUUCCUGGUUUAAAGAUGUCAACAGACGUGAUAUCAGUCAAGUCAAAGCAGAACAAUCUCUGUAUUUACAGCAUGAAUGCUUUGAGUUACAGACCUUCCAAAAAAAAUGCUACCUUGUGUGGGAAACACAAAGAAGAGUUGCAGAUUUCUUUCAACUCUUCAAAGUUUUUUCUCCCUUACUCCCCACCCUAUGGGUUCCCAUGGCAUACCUUGCCUAACAUGUCACCAUCACCCUUCCCUCCAUUACCUACGCCAUCUCAGCCUUUUC
rnacentral:lncRNA from 1 species